GGGAUCGAAAGACCUCGUGCUUUAAGAGUAGCCGAUGUCUGAUUAGCUAGUUGGUAAGGUAAAAGCUUACCAAGGCGACGAUCAGUAGCUGGUCUGAGAGGACGAUCAGCCACACUGGGACUGAGACACGGCCCAGACUCCUACGGGAGGCAGCAGUGGGGAAUUUUGGACAAUGGGCGAAAGCCUGAUCCAGCCAUGCCGCGUGAGUGAAGAAGGCCUUCGGGUUGUAAAGCUCUUUCGGUCGAGAAGAAAUGUCUAUGACUAAUACUUAUAGAAAAUGACGGUAUCGACAUAAGAAGCACCGGCUAACUACGUGCCAGCAGCCGCGGUAAUACGUAGGGUGCAAGCGUUAAUCGGAAUUAUUGGGCGUAAAGGGUGCGCAGGCUGUGUUGUAAGUCAGAUGUGAAAUCCCCGGGCUUAACCUGGGAAUUGCGUUUGAA
rnacentral:rRNA from 1 species